GAUGAACGCUGGCGGCGUGCCUAAUACAUGCAAGUCGAGCGAACAGACGAGGAGCUUGCUCCUCUGACGUUAGCGGCGGACGGGUGAGUAACACGUGGAUAACCUACCUAUAAGACUGGGAUAACUUCGGGAAACCGGAGCUAAUACCGGAUAAUAUAUUGAACCGCAUGGUUCAAUAGUGAAAGACGGUUUUGCUGUCACUUAUAGAUGGAUCCGCGCCGCAUUAGCUAGUUGGUAAGGUAACGGCUUACCAAGGCAACGAUGCGUAGCCGACCUGAGAGGGUGAUCGGCCACACUGGAACUGGGACACGGUCCAGACUCCUACGGGAGGCAGCAGUCGCGAAUCUUCCGCAAUGGGCGAAAGCCUGACGGAGCAACGCCGCGUGAGUGAUGAAGGUCUUCGGAUCGUAAAACUCUGUUAUUAGGGAAGAACAAAUGUGUAAGUAACUAUGCACGUCUUGACGGUACCUAAUCAGAAAGCCACGGCUAACUACGUG
rnacentral:rRNA from 1 species